rnacentral:rRNA from 1 species
GCGUGGGGAUGAAGGCUCUCGGGUUGUAAACCCUUUCAGCAGGACGAAAUUGACGGUACCUGCAGAAGAAGCCCCGGCUAACUACGUGCCAGCAGCCGCGGUAACACGUAGGGGGCAAGCGUUGUCCGGAUUUAUUGGGCGUAAAGAGCUCGUAGGUGGCUAAGUAAGUCGGGUGUCAAAUCCCCAGGCUCAACCUGGGUCUCCACUCGAUACUGCUUUGGCUAGAGUCCGGUAGGGGAGCGUGGAAUUCCUGGUGUAGCGGUGAAAUGCGCAGAUAUCAGGAGGAACACCAGCGGCGAAGGCGGCGCUCUGGGCCGGUACUGACACUGAGGAGCGAAAGCGUGGGUAGCAAACAGGAUUAGAUACCCUGGUAGUCCACGCCGUAAACGUUGGGCACUAGGUGUGGGGUCUAUUCAACGGACUCCGUGCCGUCGCUAACGCAUUAAGUGCCCCGCCUGGGGAGUACGGCCGCAAGGCUAAAACUCAAAGGAAUUGACGGGGGCCCGCACAAGCAGCGGAGCAUGUUGCUUAAUUCGAGGCAAC